GACGGAAGGUGCAAGCGUUGCUCGGAAUCACUGGGCGUAAAGGGUGCGUAGGCGGCCGUGCAAGUCUGGCGUGAAAGCCCCGGGCUCAGCCCGGGAAGUGCGCUCGAAACUGCGCGGCUCGAGUGCCGGAGGGGAGAGUGGAAUUCCUGGUGUAGCGGUGAAAUGCGCAGAUAUCAGGAAGAACACCAAUGGCGAAAGCGCUCUGCUAGGCCGCAACUGACACUGAGGGACGAAAGCUAGGGGAGCGAAUGGG
rnacentral:rRNA from 1 species